ACCCAAUAGAUACCCAGGUAGUCCACGCCCUAAACGAUGUCGACUGGUUGUUGGGGGUUUGACACUCUCAGUAAACGAAAGCUAAACGCGUGAAGUCGACCGCCUGGGGAGUACGGCCGCAAGGUUAAAACUCAAAGGAAUUGACGGGGACCCGCACAAGCGGUGGAUUAUGUGGAUUAAUUCGAUGCAACGCGAAAAACCUUACCUACCCUUGACAUGUCCCGAAGCCCGGUGAGAGCUGGGUGUGCCCGAAAGGGAACGGGAACACAGGUGCUGCAUGGCUGUCGUCAGCUCGUGUCGUGAGAUGUUGGGUUAAGUCCCGCAACGAGCGCAACCCUUGUCAUUAGUUGCUACAUUCAGUUGGGCACUCUAAUGAGACUGCCGGUGACAAACCGGAGGAAGGUGGGGAUGACGUCAAGUCCUCAUGGCCCUUAUGGGUAGGGCUUCACACGUAAUACAAUGGCGCGUACAGAGGGUUGCCAAGCCGCGAGGUGGAGCCAAUCCCUUAAAGCGCGUCGUAGUCCGGAUUGGAGUCUGCAACUCGACUCCAUGAA
rnacentral:rRNA from 1 species